GGGGAUGUACGGUAUUCGACAGAAUGACAAGGUUUAGCUGUUGCAAUUAAGAGGAUCGCGCUGUCUUCUCUUUAAAAAAUAGUCCAGCGCAAAAUAAGUGCAAACAAUUUUGUUGCACGUGCAGCUGCAAGAAUUGCCGCUCGCGAAGCCGGACUUGUUCCAGCUUUUGCUAUGGCAUAAGCUUGCGAUUGCAUGUUUUGCCUGAAAUUUUCGGGCAACGUUUAUAUAGCCUAUAUCUGCUAAGCUAUAUGGGCGUCAUUUAGCAGGUUAGCAUUGUUUUACUCGACUUCAGUAAGGCAAUGUGAAAAACGAAGAAGGUAAGCGCCGAUGUUUUUUGUUCGUCUUUUAUAUCGGCGACCAAAACUUAAGAUGAAACAUGAUUGUAGACGCUUCUAUUCCUCAUUUCUGCACCCGGGUUCGACUCCCGGCAUCUCCACCA
rfam:Candidatus Peregrinibacteria bacterium RIFCSPLOWO2_02_FTLL_39_10 rifcsplowo2_02_scaffold_6148, whole genome shotgun sequence.